GACGAACGCUGGCGGCGUGCCUAAUACAUGCAAGUUGAGCGCUGAAGGUUGGUACUUGUACCGACUGGAUGAGCAGCGAACGGGUGAGUAACGCGUGGGGAAUCUGCCUUUGAGCGGGGGACAACAUUUGGAAACGAAUGCUAAUACCGCAUAAAAACUUUAAACACAAGUUUUAAGUUUGAAAGAUGCAAUUGCACCACUCAAAGAUGAUCCCGCGUUGUAUUAGCUAGUUGGUGAGGUAAAGGCUCACCAAGGCGAUGAUACAUAGCCGACCUGAGAGGGUGAUCGGCCACAUUGGGACUGAGACACGGCCCAAACUCCUACGGGAGGCAGCAGUAGGGAAUCUUCGGCAAUGGACGAAAGUCUGACCGAGCAACGCCGCGUGAGUGAAGAAGGUUUUCGGAUCGUAAAACUCUGUUGGUAGAGAAGAACGUUGGUGAGAGUGGAAAGCUCAUCAAGUGACGGUAACUACCCAGAAAGGGACGGCUAACUACGUG
rnacentral:rRNA from 1 species